GCCGACCGGGCCCGCCGCCGGGUGGCUUGCGAGGCUUUAAAUACCAAGGUUCAAACGCCUCUAGGUCCUGGGCUCUGCUACUAGGAGGGGGUGUCGCGGAGGCCGUUGCUGGUUGUACUCUGCAGGUAUGCAGCGCGUUUGGUGGUUCAGCGGUGGGCUCAGAGCAAGCAUUGCCAUGAUGCAUGUGCGCUGGGACGCGACGAUUGCUUUCAGUCUUGGGCAUCUCUUGGUGUUUAAGGCGUUGUGGAUUCACUGUGGUGGGAUGAUAAGAGGGUGCUUUGUUCUUCACUAAUUUACUGUCUGUGGUUCCCUGUGUCAUAGUUUUCGUUUGUGCUUAGCAACACAGUCGAUGCAGGCAUCAGCUGGAUACAUGCUGUGUGAAGUACUUCAAUGUGGGAAGGGGAUCACAGCUUGGGUCUUGAGCAUUGGUUGUGCAGAUAGUAAAGAAGCUGAAACAUGUGAGGAUCUUCAGAAUAUUCAUGGAUGAAACCAGUUUAUAUUCACUAUGAGAGUUGGAGAAUAUACUGUUGGCAACUGAGGAACAAAGUGAUUCAGUGAUUUGCCUCAAAUCACAUAGGAAGUACAUGAUACCACUAAAAAAUGAAUGAUAGUUCAGAGUAUUUGUGACUACUGGUCUGGGCUGCUGUUAGCUAUAGAGGAGAGGAUACUAAGGGAUAAUAAGGUUUGGAUCCUGCUUAUACUGAUGUUGGUAUCUCUGGAAAGGAAAUAAUGGUAGCCAAUGUCUUGGGGAUAUGCAGGCCUUUGAGAAACAAGUUAAUUACUUCCUAAAGUCACCUGGAGUCCUGCUUGUCUACUCUGAGCUUUAUUUUUCUAUACAUCAAAACAGGAGGAAAACAUUUUGAAUUAACAAUUUGUGGCAUAGAUGAAAGAGAGUAGCUCUUUCAUCUGCUCUUUCUGUUGCUUGAUACUUUAACAAAUGAAUGUGGUGUAACUUAGAACUUGGGAAGACUUGCAUGUUAAAGGUGUUUUGGUUAGGCCUUUAAUGGGCUAACCAUAUACUUGUAAUAAUUUAGCAUUUAAUAAUUAUUAGCAAAAGGCAGAUUAACUAAACUAACUUUUAGUUAGAAGGGAUCUAAAAGCAUGAGUCAAGAUGGGACAGAUCUGAAGGCACAGUCAGUCAGAGGGAGUAAAGCCAGUUCAGCAGCAUAACUGAGCUUGCUGCUCUGCAGCACAGUAGCUGUCAGGGCUGUCCCAGUCCCACACUUUCUACUCCCCUGGCUUCAGUUGGAGUGUCUCUUGUCCCUUUGUGCAGGUACUGGCGCCUGUGUGUAGAUGCAGUGAGCUAGUUCAGGAAGGUGAUCCAGCUGCGAACUAAUUUGCUGUGGGACAAAGUGACAAGAUAGCUCCCAGGACUGGGUUCAUUGUGCACAUGCCUGGGCAGCAGGGUGGAUGCAAGAAAACAGGGUAGCUCCUGUGACUGUAACAAUUCCUGUUUAGAUCCAGACACACUGCUGUGGAAUGUUAUUCCAAGCCUGGACUUUAAGCUGUCAUAGUUGUAGGAAGAAGAAAUGCUCCCUGCCUCUCCUUGGCAGAGCUCCCUGAAGGGUGUGUUUCAGAAAGCUGGAUGCAGCUGUAUAGUGUUGUGGGGUUUUGUGGCUGGGUUAUUGUUGUACCCAGGGUAGGUUGGGUUCCAUUUACCUGUUUGAUUUGGCAGCUGCACAAGUGCUCGGCUACCUGUGAAGGAAAGGGUGGUGCACAGGCAGGAAUGAGUACUUGUUGAGAGAAGGUGGAUCUGUUUCUCCUUUAACUUGGCUGGUUGAUGCUGGUUUCAGGUGUUUAUUGGCCUUGUGCUUCAGGUGUGCACUGUUUGACAUAUGAAGCUUUUCUCCCAGAUCUUUGUGUCUGCUGCUGUGCUCAGUAUGGAAUUCCCCUAGUUCUUUACCUAUGCGAUUGUUUGUGGAGUCAUGCUGCAAACUGGAUUGUUGAGCUGAUCAUGGUUAAAAAUAACUCCCUUUUAUCUCGUCGUUUGCUCAGGACUGGACAACUAAGGACAGUAAAGAGACAGGAGCAGGGCAAGAAGUGCAGAGUGGGAUUUUUUUCAUGCCAAAAAUGGUUCAAAAGACAAAAUGGGAUAGUGUAAAUACAGUCAGAGGAGAAACAAGAGAAAUUAACCUUGAUGUGCUGAAGUGCUUGAAUUUAGUAGGCUAGUGAAUGAACUUAAAUCCCUAAUAAUACCUCUUCAUUUGAUAUGUCAGUUGCUUUACAGUUAAUUGCUGUUGAUUUACACGUGACAGUGUGUUAGCUGGUAUACUGUACUAUGUAGUUCAAAGGAAAUCUGUGCUAACCAGCAUCUAUUGUAGCAUUAUGUAAACAUACACACAAAUGAGAGAAUAAAAGUUUGAAUCUAUGUUGCUGUGUUAAAAUGAAUCUUUCAAAGGGACCUUGCAAGUAAUUUUGAAUGUUGAUUUUUGUUAAUUGCAUCUGUGGAGAAGCUUAUGGAAACCAAAAUGGAACUGUCCAAGACUGGAGCCAGAUGCACCUAGGUAUAGAAAAUGCACCAAAUUAGCAUGAUCUCAUUUGAUUUUUAAGCAUGUGAGUCUGAGUCAGUUGUACUGUCACAGGAGAGAGCAGAUUCAAGCACCAGCAAUUUUUCAUGAGUUCAUAUGAUUCUUGAAUGGGUUCACGUGACAUCAGUAGGCUUAACUUGAUUUAAAAGCUGUAACAUGUUAGCUAUGCAAAUAGAUGUGAAACAUCAUUUAAAUAUUUUUGGCUUCUCUUUUAUGAAGUGAGUAGCUCUGCAGUUCCUGUUGUGAUACAUCUCCAGCAUUCCCCAUUAAUAUCUUAUUGUAGCCAGGCCACUUAAGGGUUUUCAAAACAUGUAUGUGUGUUGGAAUUCCCUCUGCAGAGGUUAUGUCAUGAUAAGCAAUGUUUCUUUUCACAGUUACCACUGCCUUUUAAUCUCUUCUCUAUUCCAGAUCCAAAGUCAUGAGUUUUUUUGAUAUCUCUUGCUGUACUUUUUUGAGUAUCUCAGUUUCAGCCAGUGCACAGCUGCCAACUCCACCUACAAAUUGGUUUUUCAUCUUCAUAGUUUUGAAGAUCAUACAGGAAAAUUUAAAGGACAGAAAGUGAUGCUGAGUAUUUGAGAACUCUGUUUAAAAGGAAAUACAUUUCCUGAAGUGCGCCUGUGCCCAAGAAAAUAACAUACACGUCACUGGGUGGUGCUUCAGCCUGGAAUCUUUCACAGAACCUAAAAAAAAAAUGGCUAAAUGAGAAGAAUAAAGUUAAAAGCAGCCAUCCAGAGUAGGAUUAAAUCUGUAACCAUGAAGAGCCACAUAGUGCCACUGGCGACAAAAACAAUAUAGAAAGUUGGAGUAACAGGUAGGCUUUUACAAGUAGAUGUAGCUAAAUAUGUUGUGUGGUACAUUUGGACAGGGCUUAUGUAGCCAUGUAACAUUCCUUUUCAGUGAGGUAGCUAUAACCAGAAGGCUGUUGAAAGCAGACAACAGUAUAGUAGUUGCAUAUUAACACAGACAGGGCCAUUAUGCCUAUGGCAGGGUGCAUGACUGGCUGGGGCUGAGGGUGUCUGGCAGAGAGAUAGGAGGAAGCCCUUAGUGUGUCUUUGUUCUGUGAAUUACAGCUAUUGUUCUCUGAUCUUCAUGAUCACAUUUCAAGUGUCUUGCCGUGAACUGGAGUGGUUAUAACAAGUCAAAUGCAUUAUUGUUCUUGAAUUAGCCCCCCAGUUGUAACUGUAUGUGGCUCAAGGUUUUAGGGGUUAUGAAUGCUGAUAAUGAGCUUACUUAGGGUGGUAUGAUUUUUUUUUUAUGGCCUCAUCAGCACUUCUUUUGGUUGUCUGUGGUGUAAGGGAGCUCAGACGUUGUAAUCCUUGUAGGAAUGAAGUUGAGGUCUGUGAACUGUAUCUGAGAAUGAGAUCCAGUAUUUUCACAGUGGUGUUGUAUUUCCUGAAGAAACACUCUUCUCCUUCUUCACCAGUUCCUCCCUGGGAAUUUUAAUGGUUAAAAGACAAUGCUUUUAUUUGUACUUCAAAAGAUGAAAUCAUCUGUAGUUCCUACACUGAUGAGUGUUGGUGGUGGGCUUGACAGGUAAAGGUGUUGAUAUCACUGUACUGUCUCUUUUCAUUCUGAUCUGUCAUGAAACCAUGAGGAGAGUGCCACAAAUCUUUCUCUGUCACUAAUUUUGUUCUUUCCUUUAGAAAUCUGGAUAUUAAAUGUGUUCAGGAUUACUGUUGCCCAGCUGGCCAUUUCUGCAUCCUUAAUGAAGCACAGUAGUGAUAUUGGAAAAGAGUCCUUCUGUAUGUUAAUAACAGUAGUUCUUUAAUAUGCAUACUUAAACUGACAUAUUAGUCUACUGGUGUUCCACCCCUUAUGUUGGAAAUAAAACCUCAGAUUAAAAGCAGUGUUUCCUAGUCUAUGAGCUGUAUCCUGCUUGCUGGAAAUAUGCUAAAGCCUAGCUAAGUGCCUAUUUAAUUUUGAAAUGCAGGAGUUGAAUUGGCUUCUUUGGAGCACAACAGAGACAGCUGUGCUCCAAAAAAGUAUGAGAUGUUUUUUUUUCCCUACAGGAGAAGACCUCCACCUCUUUCUGGUAUUAGAUAGACUUGCUUCCUCAGACUCUACCCCUAUUUAGACUCUUCCUCCCUGGGCUGUCUCCCUUUGAAAUCUUUGGAAUGGGCUACGCUCUUUUUCAGUGCCAUUCUUAGACCUUCAUUGAAUGUAUCGUUGCACGCCAUAAAUCUAUGCCUGCUCUUGGAGGGAUCCUGACUUCAUUUGAAAAGUUGUGUACCCCAAUGUCAAGGAUGGAGUUCACAAUCUCCCGCAGUGGAGGAAGAAGAUGCUCUUCCCUGUGGUGUUCAAAGGAGUUAAUCUAAAAGAGGCUUCCCAGCAUGUUCAUGCAACAGCAUGUUGGUGAUAAACAGGCUGCUGAUCUGGUGUGGUCAAAGUUUGUCUCCCUACUAGUAAGCUGCCUUACAAGCACUGAAGAGAAAAAAGAGAUAUGAGAAACAGUUGAGUCAAAUUGAUGGGACACUUUCAACCAUUGAGUUCCAGAGAGAGGCACUGGAGAAUUCCCACACCAACACAGAAGUGCUCAAGAAUAUGGGCUAUGCUGCACAAGCUAUGAAAAAAGUACAUGAAAAUAUGGACUUGAACAAAAUUGAUGAUUUGAUGCAAGAUAUCACUGAACAGCAAGAUGUUGCGCAGGAAAUUUCAGAUGCAAUCUCAAACCGAGCUGGCUUCCGUGAUGAGUUUGAUGAGGAUGAGUUGAUGGCAGAAUUAGAAGAACUGGAGCAAGAAGAAUUGAACAAGAGAAUGAGAGAUGUCAGGUUGCCAAGUGUUCCAUCCACAUCGCUGCCUUCUCGCCCUGCAUCAACCAGGAAGAGAGCAGAGGAUGAAGAUGAAAUGAAGAAGCUUGCUGCCUGGGCUUCAUAAGACCAUGGUCUUUUUAUAACACUGAACAUUAUACUGCAGAUGUACAGAGCUGUAAAGCUGUUUUAUAACUACUGAUUUAGUGUGGUUUCAUUUCAUGCAGGCUAUAUUUUAUGGCCAGUCUUGCUAAGAAUAGUGUAACUGCCAUAUUACAAAACUAGUUUAAAAAUAAACAAAUUAAAAAAAUGCAAUAGUUGCCAAAACCUCCAAGCAUCAAACUUUUUUUCAGCCUUGGCCAGAGAUUUGUUUUUAAUAUCAUUUUUUAUUGGGUGAUGUUGUACUAUAUCUGGCUGGUUUGUAAAACCUGUGUACCUCACACACACAGCUGGAUUCGUUGCUGAAAUGCAAAAGUUAAAGUCAUUAAGGCCUUAUCCUAGAGGGUUAUUUGUUUCAGACUAUUUGAAUAUUAGCAAAACAGCUUUAUACAUGUCCUGACUUGCAAGUUCCUUGGAGCCCAAGAGCUAAUAGCCAUUCAUUUGGACAUUGAAUUUUAAACAGACUGCCUGGAGCAAUUUAUGGUGACCUAGAUAUUAAGAGAAAACUCUUCUGUAGGUUUUUGAAGUGGGAUAGGUAUUCUUGGUUUAACUUUAGCCACAACAUCCCAUGUACUUCUAUAGGUCAGGUUAAAUUGUAUUUUGAACUAUUUCAUACUCAGUUAAAGAACAGUUUUACAGUGAUUGGGGAAAAUGAAAUGUCCAAGUUCUUACAGAUCGCUGCUAAACAAAACUGAUUUCUGAUAACCCCAUCAAAAAUCCGGAAGAGAUUUGACCUUCCUUUGUUCUCCUCUACUGUGUCUUUCUAGGCUGAGUCUUUACUUUGUAUGAUAAUACCCAUCUUUAAGGCAAUUAGUAACACAUUUUUAAUUAUACAAUUUCAAGUAAUCUUAAUUUCUGAGCAUUUAGUUCUUUCCUCUUACUCAAUUUCUGAACGGAAAUAAUACCAGCAUGUUGCAUUCAAAAUGCCUUUUUAACCCUGGUUAAAAGCUGAUUCUGGAUUAGUUAUAAAUGACAUGUUACUGUCCAACUGACAGCUUUAUAGCUUGCGGAACAAAUGCCACUCUGAGUGCUAAACUACUACAUAGAGAAAAUAGAGAAAUCACUGUUCUACUACAAAACAAGAAUUAAAUAGGCUGCUUUAUACUAGCGAAUUCUAUUAAAUGAAACUUAAGCUCUAUGCUAGUAGUCUGCUGUCAAUCACGUGGAAAUACUAAAACACUGUGGAGUUCCAAGGGAUGUGGGAAGCAGAGUGACAUCAGUCUAGGUUUCUUGUUUUCAUAUUAAUUUAAAUUUACUGAUGACUGAACCACUUCGGGUAUAGUGAGAGACUUGGUUUCUGUAGAUCCGUUGCGGUGGAAGACUGACCCCUUCUCCUGUGGGCUUUAGGCUAUGAUGUGCUGGGUGUUCAGCUUCAAUAGGCUGCAGUAGGCUUCAGCUUCUUAGAUUUUAGGUUAAGCAUAAGCUAAUGUGUGUUUCUGGACAUGGCAUGCUGGUGUGCUCAGAACCUUUCAACUUGAGUUCAUGGAUGAAACCCCACAUUUACAAACCCUGUGGAGAGAUUCAGUUUUUCAGGACUUUUUUAUUCUCUGUACUGGAAUUGCUUUUGGUUUGCGUCCAUAUGAAAGGACACUCAAGCUUUGCCACUUUACUUUGGAUGCAUUUCCUACUCAGAAAAAAAACAAGUAUGAUAAUUCUGUCCCAAGGUUUGGAGGUACCAGAAAAAUUGUUCCUUUCAGCUGAGAGUGGAGAAAACCUGGAACUAUGCAGUUUUUAAUUUUUCUUUUUUUUCUUUUUUUUUUUUUUUUACAAAUAAAGCCACAAAAACCCCAACCUGCCUUAAAUUUAAAAAUACAUUUUGAACUCUCAGUAGGAAAUUGAACACUAACAAAAUGUUUCUCAGUUUUAAUGCUUGCUGAUAUUCAGAAUGAGAUGCCAGCUGAGAGCAGGCAUAUUUAAUAAAAUAACAAAUAUUUGGAGUUACUUAUAAUCCAUUUGCUAAUCCUUUUGGCUGGAAUUCCAUCUUCAAGGUAUGCAAUCUAUGCAAGUCUCUGAACUGGGUACAGAAAGUAUUAAUAUACACUGAUUGCACCACUGUGUGGGGCUGGCCUUGUGCCUGUGGACACAUCUGAUAUUUCUAAAUGUGAGGCCAUACCAACAUAGUCCUGUGCUUAGCUUGGAAAAGCUGGCGUCUAGCAUCUGUUCUUGGCUGCAUUAGUAGUUUUCCAAUACUUGGCACUUCAUGUAGCACUUGGUAUAUUUAAAGUGCUCUACAACCUAGCCAAAAUAGGUUUCUAAGCUUCAGUUUGAAACUAAAGUGAUUUUCAGUCUGGCAAAUGUGGACCUGCUGUUUUAUGUAAGAACUUUCCAUGUGAACACCCUGCAAGGGUGAAGAAAUCUAGGGAAGGUCUCCUCUUUUGCAGGCUAGCAUCUGGCUGCCGACUUCCAGCGAUAUUUUGGCCAAUUGUUGAUCCUGAGAAGCUUCAAGUGUCUUCAGCUUAUUGAUUUCAGACCAGACACUUUAGGAACAAGAUUUGUGAAGGGUGAAGAAAACAAACUGGUCAUUCAGAUGAGCUCCCAUAAAAGCUUGUGUGUGGUGGCUGGUGGUUCUGGAGGAGAGAGUCACGUACCAGUUCAUAGGCUAGGAUAUGAGUGGUUGGUGAAGCUAUCCUCAGAGAUACUGUAGUCAGGUGCACAGACCAAAAUACAGUAUGGACCUCCAGAACCAGAGUGCUUGUUGACAGGAUUGUCUGGGAGGCAGUAAGUGAUGGGUUUUCUUCAAAAGCAGAGGGGUUCUAGGGGUUUAAUUCAGCUGAGGUGGCGGCUCUCUCCUUCAUAAACUCAGAUGACGCUAUGACAAAUGGCUCUUCCUUCUUUGAACAUAUGUCUGUCUUUGUGCCAAGAUGGUAUUUGUUUAGUAUGUAAGCAGAUGAGAGUGAACAGUGACAAAGUGUUGCUGUAAAUGUACUCUCUGUUAACUGGAACAUAUUUUACAAGAGGACUGGCAGCAGAUGGUGCACUAUAGCUGACUUCCUUUCUUGUUUCUUAUUUAUUUUGAGAAGGUUUUCUUCUCUGAACAGGCUUGGACAUUUUUAAUCUCAAUAUCUUUAAAAGGGGGGAAAAUGUACCAAUAAAAAGUAAAAAGAAAAUAUAGAUAUGCUGUAAAUAAGUAUUUUGGUGUCAUAUUUGUGUUAUAUGAUUGUAUUAAAUUUAUUUUCCUAUCAGGCAAGACUGUAAGUACUCUCCUUACACUGUCAUUAGGAUACAGUGCUCUUUAGAGGAGAUUAGGAUAUUAUGAAAUACUGUUUUAAUGUAUUAAUCUUUCAGCAUCAGGUUGGAAUUUAGGAAUUCUUCAAAGCUGAUUUGGUUUAAAAAACCAGCCAAACAAUAAAAAAACCCAAACCAGCAUAUCCUGUGGUGUUUGAGCUACGUUCCUUGACACCGAACAGUUGUUUAGCAAGCAGUUCUUUUAUUUUAACAUGUCCAAAAUACCUACUUCACUUCGCCACCCCCCAAUCCACGAUCUCUUCAUUGCUUCUUAAAUGUAUGUAUUUCACUUUCCAGGCCCUAGUGGAAAGGAAGAAUGGACAGGUCUUUUAAA